ACCGUGACAAGGACUCAAAAGCUUACUUGUCUUAUAGUUUAGGUGCUUUAUCUGUUUUUGGUUUUAUUGCUUGUUGUUUUGUCUGGUUCAAUAAUACUGCUUAUCCGAGUGACUUU